CCAAAGUUUUUAUCCAGAACGUUUCACGUUGUAGGAGAAGUUUACUUCGAUCACCCCCACGUCUGAGGGGGGUAUAUGGUCUAUAGCCAUAAAUUUCAGGGUGGGUAACGUGUGGCCAUGGGCCAAAAAGUGUUUUGCUACAGGGAGUUCAGCCUUAUUGUCCCUAUAGGCAAUGUGAAUGUUGGAUCUGUAGUUGCGGAUCCGUUCC